AACAUCGCCUCUUGAAUAAAAAUAAGAGGUCCAGCCUGCCCAGUGACUAAUAUUCAACGGCCGCGGUAUCCUAACCGUGCGAAGGUAGCGUAAUCACUUGUUCUUUAAAUGGGGACUAGUAUGAAUGGCAUCACGAGGGUUAUACUGUCUCCUUUUUCUAAUCAGUGAAUCUAAUCUCCCCGUGAAGAAACGGGGAUACACCUACAAGACGAGAAGACCCUAUGGAGCUUUAAAUACCUCUUCAAACGUUGGACCUCCUCCCCAGUUUUAAACUCACCUAUAUUAACCCCGUACGCUAUGAAGACAACUUUAGGUUGGGGUGACCGCGGAGUACAACAUAACCUCCACGCUGAAUUCAGACUCUUUAAGCCUGAGCCAAGAGCCACUGCUCAAAGCACUAAGAAAUUAACAUUUAUUGACCCAAAACAUUUGAUCAACGAACCAAGUUACCCUAGGGAUAACAGCGCAAUCCAUUUCAAGAGUCCAUAUCGACAAAUGGGUUUACGACCUCGAUGUUGGAUCAGGGUAUCCCAGUGGUGCAGCCGCUACUAAUGGUUCGUUUGUUCAACGAUUAAAACCCUACGUGAUC
rnacentral:rRNA from 1 species